GGCGGUACGGGGGCCGAGCAGGGAUUGGCUGGGGGUCCUGGCGGGGAGGAGGCGGAAGCGGAAGCGGAAGCGGCAAGGCCGGAAGCGGCGGCGCCAUGGAGCUGAGCGAGAUGCUGUAUAACAAGUCCGAGUACAUCGAGACGGCAUCUGGCAACAAAGUCAGCAGACAGUCAGUGCUCUGCGGAAGCCAGAACAUAGUUCUGAAUGGAAAGACGAUAGUUAUGAAUGAUUGUAUUAUUCGUGGUGAUCUGGCAAACGUAAGAGUUGGACGCCACUGUGUUGUGAAAAGCCGCAGUGUCAUCAGGCCGCCUUUCAAGAAAUUCAGCAAGGGAGUUGCUUUCUUCCCUCUCCACAUCGGUGAUCAUGUCUUUAUAGAAGAAGACUGCGUUGUCAAUGCAGCCCAGAUUGGCUCCUACGUUCACAUAGGCAAGAAUUGUGUCAUUGGUCGUAGGUGUGUUUUGAAAGACUGCUGCAAAAUUCUAGCCAACACAGUUCUACCCCCUGAAACUGUGGUCCCGCCUUUUACAGUCUUUUCAGGCUGCCCAGGGCUCUUCUCUGGAGAACUCCCAGAAUGCACCCAAGAGCUGAUGAUUGAUGUUACAAAGAGCUAUUACCAGAAGUUCUUGCCACUUACUCAGAAGCAGGAGGCCUCUCAAACAAGCAGUGGGGCCACGGGAAGACUGAAGUGCUAAAUGAGCACUCAGGGAAGACAAGGCCAGUGCAGAGAAGCUAAAUAAAUUCUUUCCAUCAGUCUUCGCUGCAGAGGAUGUGAUGGAGAUUCCCACACGUGGCCUCUGCCAGGGCCUAAAGACCAAGUCACCAGCGAAGACCUCACAAACACAGCCCUGUUAAAAUCCCCUAGAUCUGGCCCUUUUAACCUCUGUCCUCUGGAGCAUCGCUCUGUCCAGGCUCAUCUCUGAACCUCUGCCUGCCGGCUGGCUGCACUAACUGGAAUGAUGAAGUGUCCUUAGGUUGGUGCCUGCCACCACUGCCUCCUGGGAGUUGUUUCCUGGUGUCUACAAUUAGCCUGAUACAGUAGAAUGAACCACAACUUCCAAGAGGAGGCUUUGCUGCACAGCUCUGGAACAAACUGCCACAGUGGAGUUAGUUGGCUUUGGGGGCAAUGGAGACUCCGCUACUGGAUUCCUCUGUUCAGGAACCUUUUAAAAACAUUCUCACUUGCUUAAACAAUAAACCAACCCUGCAUUCUGCCACCAUA